rnacentral:rRNA from 1 species
CACGCCGUAAACGAUGAUGACUAACUAUAGCCGUGAGGCUGUGGUGAAGCAAACGCAUUAAGUCAUCCGCCUGGGAAGUACGGUCGCAAGACUGAAACUUAAAGGAAUUGACGGGUCCCCGCACAAGCAGUGGAGCAUGAGGUUUAAUUCGAAGCUACGCGAAGAACCUUACCAGAACUUGACAGGGCGGAUAAUGCUGCAGAAAUGCAGAGAUAAUACCAGCACACAGGUGG